rnacentral:antisense_RNA from 1 species
AUACAAAAUAAAAAUAAAAACAUCGACUGUUUUUCUUUAGGUAAGUCGCUAUCACAAACUUUGGUCGGGGAGUGAGCGACUUCUUUUUAUUUGCU